UACGUAGGGAGCAAGCGUUGUCCGGAAUCAUUGGGCGUAAAGCGCGCGUAGGUGGCCCGGUAAGUCCGCUCUGAAAGUCACAGGCUCAACCUGUGAAAGCGGAUGGAUACUGCCGGGCUAGAGUCCGGAAGAGGCGAGUGGAAUUCCUGGUGUAGCGGUGGAAUGCGCAGAUAUCAGGAGGAACACCAACGGCGAAGGCAGCUCGCUGGGACGGUACUGACACUGAGGCGCGAAAGCGUGGGGAGCGAACAGG
rnacentral:rRNA from 1 species